AUUGAACGCUGGCGGCAUGCCUUACACAUGCAAGUCGAACGGCAGCAUGAUCUAGCUUGCUAGAUUGAUGGCGAGUGGCGAACGGGUGAGUAAUACAUCGGAACGUGCCCUGUAGUGGGGGAUAACUAGUCGAAAGAUUAGCUAAUACCGCAUACGACCUGAGGGUGAAAGUGGGGGACCGCAAGGCCUCAUGCUAUAGGAGCGGCCGAUGUCUGAUUAGCUAGUUGGUGAGGUAAAGGCUCACCAAGGCGACGAUCAGUAGCUGGUCUGAGAGGACGAUCAGGCACACUGGGACUGGGACACGGCCCAGACUCCUACGGGAGGCAGCAGUGGGGAAUUUUGGACAAUGGGCGAAAGCCUGAUCCAGCAAUGCCGCGUGUGUGAAGAAGGCCUUCGGGUUGUAAAGCACUUUUGUCCGGAAAGAAAUGGCUCUGGUUAAUACCUGGGGUCGAUGACGGUACCGGAAGAAUAAGGACCGGCUAACUACGUG
rnacentral:rRNA from 1 species